AAUGGUAGGGGGCAAAUGCUGCGCAACACUGGUGGCGUGGAAUAUGUUUAGGUGUAUUAAUGGGGAAUAUUCUCUGGGACUUGUAACAAUUACACUUCAGACAAUACUACUGUUGAUAAAAAAAUGUAGUUGAUCAUUCUCGUUGUUUUAUUUAUUAGUAAACGAUGGAAAAUAAAUAACCAUUGCAAUUAAUUUAAGGUUCUCAUUAAAAAUCUUUCUUGCAUGAAAGUCCUGCAAAAUCGAACAGAAUUGGACUAUUAAUUUUAUUUAUUUAUAUUACUAUAUUUACUGAUUAUCUGCUCAGUCUCGCCAUCACAGCGCCUCUUCCCCAGUCCUUGCAACCUCCUCCUUUUCGACUUUCAGAGCCUCCUCCUCAACCUGUCCAACCUCCUCCUUACGUCCACAGGGAUUCUCCACAGCCCCCUAGGCCUUAUGCCUUCGAAAGAACGAAGAAGGAUAAACAAAGAAAACGAUUUUAGUGAGUUCGCUGUGCAGUGGAUAUGGAUUCUUGUAGACUUGGAAACUUGGGGAAAGAGCUCUCUUCAACCCUGCUGCUGGAUGACACACUGAAAAUAGAGACUCUCCUAAUAUGAAAGGAGAUUGUACUGGAGACUUCACUGUUAUACUGACUGGCUGGCUAGAAGUGCUCUUCUUUUUUUUAACUUUCUGCCAUGAAGCAUUAUCUGUAAAUGAUCAUAAAACCUGACUUUCAAAUGAAAAUAUAAAGCAACUGGUUUUCG